UGCAGUGAGAGAAAGAGAAAGAGAGAAAGAGGGAGUAGGAGCGGGACUAAGAGAGGGCGGUAUUUCAGAGGCUGCGGAUCGACAAAGAAAAAGAAUGAAAAUCGAAAAUAAAAAUAAGGAGAGAUAAAGGCGCUCAGAAAAAUUAGAGAGAGAAGUGAGAGAGAGCGGCCGAAGAAGUAGGGAAAGGACCUAGAGGCUCCAGACCAGAGGAAGAAAUAGAAUUUUCAAACCCAAAGUCGUUUGCAUUUUCAUGGUACUAAACCGAAACUAGUCCUAGAAGUCAAGAAUCCCACCAAUGCCAGCAAUUUCUAAAGUAGAAUCGCACUGCUCGUUGCAAUGUGCGAGGGGUUCUUCUAGGAAAAUUGAGAAAUCAUUUUUGAUGUGAUUCUAGGCCAUUAAACGAGCUUAAGAACGAUUUGUGUGAAGGAGUUUGUGAGUAUCUCGUCCAUUCUAUGCUUGUUUUUGGAGUUUUACUCUCUAUGCUUGAUUUUAUUAAUUUUUUGCUUGAACUACAACAAAUACAGAUUACUAAGAAGAACAAAAACACAUACAUUUUACAAGCAGUGUGAACUGCCAAGAUGGAGUGGAGGACAUUUGAU